AACGAACGCUGGCGGCAUGCCUAACACAUGCAAGUCGAACGAGACCUUCGGGUCUAGUGGCGCACGGGUGCGUAACGCGUGGGAACCUGCCCUUAGGUUCGGAAUAACUCCCCGAAAGGGGUGCUAAUACCGGAUAAUGUCUUCGGACCAAAGAUUUAUCGCCUUUGGAUGGGCCCGCGUUGGAUUAGCUAGUUGGUAGGGUAAAAGCCUACCAAGGCGACGAUCCAUAGCUGGUCUGAGAGGAUGGUCAGCCACACUGGGACUGGGACACGGCCCAGACUCCUACGGGAGGCAGCAGUGGGGAAUAUUGGACAAUGGGCGAAAGCCUGAUCCAGCAAUGCCGCGUGAGUGAUGAAGGCCUUAGGGUUGUAAAGCUCUUCUACCCGGGAUGAUAAUGACAGUACCGGGAGAAUAAGCUCCGGCUAACUCCGUG
rnacentral:rRNA from 1 species